rnacentral:rRNA from 1 species
UACGUAGGGUGCGAGCGUUGUCCGGAAUUAUUGGGCGUAAAGGGCUCGUAGGCGGUCUGUCACGUCGAAAGUGAAAACUCAGGGCUCAACCCUGAGCCUGCUUCCGAUACGGGCAGACUAGAGGUAUGCAGGGGAGAAUGGAAUUCCUGGUGUAGCGGUGAAAUGCGUAGAUAUCUGGAGGAACACCGAUGGCGAAGGCAGGUCUCUGGGCUGACACUGACGCUCAUGCACGAAAGCGUGGGGAGCAAACAGG